AAUCAACGCUGGCGGCGUGCCUCAGACAUGCAAGUCGAACGAUUAAACUUCCCUUCGGGGCAGAUAUAAAGUGGCGCACGGGUGAGUAACACGUAGGUAAUGUACCUUUGGGUGGGGAAUAACUUAGGGAAACUUAAGCUAAUACCGCAUAAUGCAGCGGCUCCUUCGGGAGACAGUUGUUAAAGAUUUAUCGCCUAAAGCGCAGCCUGCGUCAGAUUAGCUAGUUGGUAAGGUAACGGCUUACCAAGGCUACGAUCUGUAUCCGACCUGAGAGGGUGGUCGGACACACUGACACUGAAUAACGGGUCAGACUCCUACGGGAGGCAGCAGUCGGGAAUUUUGGGCAAUGGGCGAAAGCCUGACCCAGCAACGCCGCGUGAAGGAUGAAGUCUUUCGGGAUGUAAACUUCGUAAGAAUAGGAAGAAUAAAUGACGGGACUAUGUGUAAGGUCCGGCUAACUACGUG
rnacentral:rRNA from 1 species